GGGAUCUGACCCAGCCCUUCUUCUGCAGUGAGGCGUUUUUCGGUGCUCGGGGCGAAUCUCAAUACCGUAAGUGACUCACGACGCGCCGCUGAAAUGGCUGCCGCGGCUACAGAAGAAGCGACCGCACUGGGUGUUGAGAACGACGCACCGUCCGCGGAGACACCAAACGAGAGCAACCGUGAGGAGAGAGACGAGGGCCCCUGCGAACCGGAAACGGGGGAACCGGGCAGGAGCGCAGCACCGAAAAUAGAAGCGGUGGACGCGGAGGCCGGCGAAGAGAAGCCCGCUGUCGCGGCAGACAAGGCCGCGAGCGAGGCGGUGACAGACGACAGCGCUGUGGCGGUGAACCGGGAGGCGACGGACGCUCCGGGAGAACCGGAGCAGAAGACGGAGCUGCUGGAAAGGCCGGGAGGCGGAAACGAAGAACACGCCCCCGAUAAUGCAUCGAAAGAAGCGAAGGAGGAACCGGGAGAGGGCGGCCGGUGUUCGGGGAUAAACUGCGAAAAGAGCAAAACAGUUAGUGAAGAUGGGGAGAAGCCCGGCGGCGGGGCGCUGGGCGACAAGAGGCGGCCGAGCGUGGAGAUCUCCUCCUCGGACGGUGAACCGCUGAGCCGCAUGGACUCGGAGGACAGCAUCAGCAGCACCCUGAUGGAGAUGGAGAGCACCGUGUCGAGUGGGCGCUCCACCCCUGCUAUGAUGAACGGGCAGAGCAGCGUCGGCUCCUCUGGGGCUAAGACGGUGGCUUACCCCUGCUGCUGGGACCUCUGUCCGCAGUGCUUCAACUCCAGUCCGGAUCUGGCAGAGCACAUCCGAGGCAUUCAUGUGGAUGGACAGAGAGGAGGGGUGUUUGUGUGUCUGUGGAAGGGUUGUAAAGUGUAUAACACACCGUCCACCAGUCAAAGUUGGCUCCAGAGACACAUGCUGACCCACAGCGGAGACAAGCCCUUCAAGUGUGUAGUUGGUGGCUGCAACGCCAGCUUUGCCUCCCAAGGAGGGUUGGCUCGCCAUGUCCCGAGCCACUUCAGCCAGCAGAGCUCCUCCAAAAUGUCCAGCCAGGCCAAACUCAAGGAAGACUCACCCUCCAAGGCGGGACUCAACAAGAGGAAGAAACUCAAGAACAAACGCAGGUGCUCCCUACCGAGGCCCCACGACUUCUUCGACGCCCAAACCAUGGAUGCUAUUCGGCACAGGGCCAUCUGUCUUAACCUCGCCACCCACAUCGAAAGUGUGGGCAACGGCCACAGUGUGGUCUUCAACAGCACGGUGGUAGCCAAAAGGAAAGAGGGUUCUGGCAAGGUGAAGAUCCUCCUACAUUGGACACCUGAGGACAUACUACCUGACGUAUGGGUGAAUGAAACGGAGCGAUCUCAGCUGAAGUCCAAAGUGGUGCACUUAUCCCAGUUACCGCAGGACGCUGCCAUGCUGCUAGACCCAAACAUCUAUAGUGCAUCACGUUCCACUAAACAUUAACUACGAUGAUAUUUGAAUCCUGUGCUGACGUGGUCGACUCAUCACCGAGAUGAAAAAACAAGAGCACUUCCUCAAAAGCAGCUGAAGCGCAGCCUGUAAAGAGUCAUCUGUGGACUUGAUACUGAAGGGAAACGCUUGUUCAUAGGAGCUUUAUCUAUAUGGGAUGCGACGCUCUUCAUCUGUCUCAGCUGAACGGGGCCGAGUGAAGUGCCGAUAAAAGGAAAUGAAACUUGGCAAUGCUGCAGAUUUUUUUUCUCUCUUCAGUUUUGUAUAUCUGAACUGUUGUAGCCAAGCGUUUUUUUUUUAAAAGUUUGUGUUCAUCAAAAAUUCAAAUUAAUGUUUUUUUUUUAACAAGCCGCAAACUAAAAAAUAUUCUUAAUACCCAAUUGUGUAAAAAUAUGUUUUGUGUAACUAUGUCAGAAAAUACAGCAUAUUUUAUAACUGUUUUUGUGUAAACUAUUUAUGCAGAUUUUUAACUUAUUUUUAUACCAUAAAAAUGCUGAUGUAAUGUGGAUUUUUGUGAAAGUUUUAAACAGAACCGUAUUUACUGUGAUAAUCAAUGUUAACUGUCACUUGAAGGCAUAUUUGGACAUUUCUAGUUGUAACUAAGCUGUACAUGACAGAAGUCUUAUCCUAUUUAUACCUCCAGAAUGCAGUACUUUGUAAAUGACGAUGAAGACUGAGGUUGUGCCAGGCAUAAUCUUAAUCUUACCCAGUGUGUAGACAGUCAGCAUAGAAAGGACUAACAUUUCAUCACACACUCCAAGUGUAAAUCACAACUUCCUCUUCCCCAAGUAACAUAAACUGUGUAUAUCAUAGUUGGUGUGUCACAUUACUGCUAUUUAAGCACUCAAAAGUUAUUGUUCAAAUAAAGUUGUUUUCUACUGUAGUGGAAUACUCUGUAAUAAAACGAGGGAAACGAC